rnacentral:tRNA from 1 species
AAUAAGUGCCUGAAUUUUUAAAGGGUUAUCUUGAUAUGAUAAAUUAUGUUAAUAAACCUUAUUUAUUUUUAU